UGAAUGUUAAAAAGCGUAACAAGGUCUCCGUUGGUGAACCAGCGGAGGGAUCAUUACCGAGUUUACAACUCCCAAACCCAAUGUGAACGUUACCAAACUGUUGCCUCGGCGGGGUCACGCCCCGGGUGCGUCGCAGCCCCGGAACCAGGCGCCCGCCGGAGGGACCAACCAAACUCUUUACUGUAGUCCCCUCGCGGACGUUUUUACUUACAGCUCUGAGCAAAAAUUCAAAAUGAAUCAAAACUUUCAACAACGGAUCUCUUGGUUCUGGCAUCGAUGAAGAACGCAGCGAAAUGCGAUAAGUAAUGUGAAUUGCAGAAUUCAGUGAAUCAUCGAAUCUUUGAACGCACAUUGCGCCCGCCAGUAUUCUGGCGGGCAUGCCUGUCCGAGCGUCAUUUCAACCCUCGAACCCCUCCGGGGGGUCGGCGUUGGGGACCUCGGGAGCCCCUAAGACGGGAUCCCGGCCCCGAAAUACAGUGGCGGUCUCGCCGCAGCCUCUCCUGCGCAGUAGUUUGCACAACUCGCACCGGGAGCGCGGCGCGUCCACGUCCGUAAAACACCCAACUUUCUGAAAUGUUGACCUCGGAUCAGGUGGAACCCAG
rnacentral:rRNA from 1 species